UGAGGUAUAGCCAAGUUGGUAAGGCAGUAGGCUUUGGCUCUACGAUCAUAGGUUCGAGUCCUAUUACCUCAG
rnacentral:tRNA from 1 species